rnacentral:lncRNA from 1 species
UUGAUUCUAUGAGGUCUAAUUACGAUGCUUUAAUGUUAAUUAUGGUUUUUGAUCCAUGAAUUUGAGUUGUGAAAUAAAGCUUUAUCUCAAAUUAUGAACUUGAGUUUUUUAUCUGAUAUUUACAAAAGACCUGGUUUUAGGUAGGAUACAAUGGAAUUAAUAAGAUCCAAGCUUUGGGUAUGAUUGAUGGGUGAUGGAUGAUUACUGAGUUAGCUUUGAGUCUUGAAAUAAAUCUUUAUGUCAAAUUGUGAACUUGAGUUUAGCUGAUAUUACUAUCGAUCUGGUCCUAAAUAGCAUACCAUGAAAUUAAUAAGAUUCAAGCUUGUGUAAAAUAAAAAAAUGAUGGAUUGUGAUUAAUCUGGCCUUUGAUCCAAGAGAAUGAGAAUGUGUCCAGGUUGUGGAUAUGAACAUUGGGAAAUUUCUGCAGCUGGCAGCUCUAUAUAUUUGAUCAAAGUUAACAUCUCCGUGUUAUGCUUUGUUUACUCUCUCUUGAAACCUUAGAUUCAGGUAUUAACAGUGGAAAAGACUGGAAUGUGUAUUAGAUUCUCAUAUUGGUUCUGAAAAAUUAUACCUGCGACUACUGAUUCACAGGCAGAUGCAAAUGUUUCUGUCCUCUGGAUGUUCAAAUAAUAGGCUUCCAACUUUUUGACUUCUUUACUUAUUCCAACUUUGUUAAGUUCUCUAUCAUACUACUUUGAGCUGACUAGUUGUUUCGGUUUUCUUUUGUUCCCUUGAAAAAUCUGGGAAGUUACACAUUGUAUCUCUAGCAUUAAAAUAGAACACAGUUAAAUUUCUUUGACCUCAUUUGCUGCCAUAUAAGAUCGUAGGUUUCCGGCCUUGGACUUUGUAAUAUGAUUUUGAUGAAGUAAUUGUAUGCUCAUUUUGAAAACAAUGGCCUUUCUAAUUAAAUCAACUGGGAAAGUAGUGAUGAUUUACAUAUUCUCUUCAUCUUUGCAGGUCUGGGCAGCCGGUUUUGCUGCUGCUAUACUGAAGAAACAGAGCUCUUUAGUAAAUGGAUGAUUACUGAGUUAGCUUUGAGUCUUGAAAUAAAUCUUUAUGUCAAAUUGUGAACUUGAGUUUAGCUGAUAUUACUAUCGAUCUGGUCCUAAAUAGCAUACCAUGAAAUUAAUAAGAUUCAAGCUUGUGUAAAAUAAAAAAAUGAUGGAUUGUGAUUAAUCUGGCCUUUGAUCCAAGAGAAUGAGAAUGUGUCCAGGUUGUGGAUAUGAACAUUGGGAAAUUUCUGCAGCUGGCAGCUCUAUAUAUUUGAUCAAAGUUAACAUCUCCGUGUUAUGCUUUGUUUACUCUCUCUUGAAACCUUAGAUUCAGGUAUUAACAGUGGAAAAGACUGGAAUGUGUAUUAGAUUCUCAUAUUGGUUCUGAAAAAUUAUACCUGCGACUACUGAUUCACAGGCAGAUGCAAAUGUUUCUGUCCUCUGGAUGUUCAAAUAAUAGGCUUCCAACUUUUUGACAUCUUUACUUAUUCCAACUUUGUUAAGUUCUCUAUCAUACUACUUUGAGCUGACUAGUUGUUUCGGUUUUCUUUUGUUCCCUUGAAAAAUCUGGGAAGUUACACAUUGUAUCUCUAGCAUUAAAAUAGAACACAGUUAAAUUUCUUUGACCUCAUUUGCUGCCAUAUAAGAUCGUAGGUUUCCGGCCUUGGACUUUGUAAUAUGAUUUUGAUGAAGUAAUUGUAUGCUCAUUUUGAAAACAAUGGCCUUUCUAAUUAAAUCAACUGGGAAAGUAGUGAUGAUUUACAUAUUCUCUUCAUCUUUGCAGG